CAGGAAGAUGUCAAACCCUUCAGGCAAAAAGUAGCAAUCAUUCUCCAUGAAUCAGAUCUGAACGAUAUAAAAGGAACUCCUGAGUACCAUAAUCCAGCAGACGAUAUAAUAGAUACUGACGGUGUUGAAAUAUUGGACCCGCCACCUGCCAUGGUUGUUCUGAGAAUGCCACUUAAUAAAAAUGAGCUACUUUGCAAACUUCGAGGUCAUAUCAUGUCCAUUCAUAAUGCAGAUUCCCGAGAGAAAGAAUGGAUCCGUAGCUCCAAGCCCUACCCACUAAGUAUAAGUCUUAGACAACUACAAGACUUACUAAAGAAUACACGGGCUAUUGAUGUCGACAGUUUUAACAUGGCUGUUCGAGUAAAUGCUACAGACGACAUUCAAUGGGCUAAAGACACUCCAUAUCACUAUAUGGAUCUCAGAUUUUCUGUAAGUUAUUAA
rnacentral:rRNA from 1 species